GACGAGGGGAAUUUAUUAUACAGCGCGGUACUGCAUUUCAGAGGUCACUGCUGCCACGGUUUAACUGCUCGCCCUAUUAGUAAUGCCCAGACAUGGGGUUACAUCGAUAGGCUCCCCAGAGUUUAGACUGGGGGCACACACGAGGAGAGGCCAGCCCUGAAGAGGGCCAAAGGGAAUAAGGGUUCCCCACCUUUUGGCUUGGAAUUUAAAAGACCCUUCUGCACUCUUUGCCCAUAUGAACAUAGAGGAACCUCAGCAAACUUGGAGGUGGCCGGGAGUCACUGGAAUUUAUUGAGUGGUGACCGUUAGUCAAUCAACACACACUUAUCGAGCAUCUACUCUGUGCCAGGCUGCUGUAGGCCCUGGCCCUACAGAGAUGAAAACAACCCCCAAAACAAUAGUCUCUAGCCUCGAGAAGCUUAUGUAUUACUGGAAGGAUCGGAUAUAAGACCAAAGGAUCAUGGAUCAAAAGUUGGAAGGUCCUCAGGGGCUCUCAGCCCUCCAGGUGAUGUAAAUAGAUAAAUAAGGGUAAAAAUAAUCAUGGCUGACAUUUGAGGGCCCUUGUGGUUUGGUAGAGAGAUCACAGAUCUGAAGUCAGAGGACCUGGGUUCAAUUCCCAUUGGGUGUCCUUGGGUAAGACAUCAUUUCCCUAACUCUCAGUUUCUUUCUUUGUAAAAUGAGGAGUUUGGACUAGGUCACUUCUGAAGUUACUUCCCACUCUGCAUCUAUGAAUGGUAGCCCUAAAUGUGCAUCAUAUGGCUGUAAUGGCAAACUGGCAUACAUGAGUAUGCCUGGCUGAACCAAAUCCCAAUAUGGAAGAGGCUGGGGCAUCUGCUCCCAGGAGGGCCAUGAUGAUGUAUCAGGAAGACCUUGGAGCAUUCAUAGACAUCCUGGACCAAUUCCAACCUGUUAGCCAUGUAGUAGAUAGAACCAGAACCAGAAUGGGGGGCUUCUAAAGGUUUUAAGGGCCCCCCUCUCUCUUUCUUGUUUGGAACUCUCUGUCCCUCCAUCUCUAUCACUGUCUCUGUCUUUUUUCUCUUUUUCUGUCUCCUUUCUGUCUCUCUGUCUCUUUCUCCUCUCUCUGUCCCAGUCUCUCCAUCUCUAUCACUGUCUCUUUCUUCUUUCUUUUUUUUCUGUUUCCAUCUGUCUUCUUUCUCUCUCUUUCUUUCUCUCUGUCUGUCUGUCCCUCUCUUUCUCUGGCUCUGUCUGUCCCUCUCUUUCUCUGGCUCUGUCUGUUUCUCUCUCUGUCUCUCUUUCUCUCUCUGGCUUUGUCUUCUUUCUCUUUUUCUGCCUCUUUCUGUCUCCUUUCUGUCUCUGUCUCCUUUCUGUUUCUCUGUCUCUUUCUCCUCUCUGUCUCUGUCUCUCCAUCUCUAUCACUGUUUCUUCUUUCUGUUUUUUCUGCUUCCAUUUGUCUCUUUUCUCUCUCUCUCUUUCUCUUUCUCUCUCUGUCUGUCCCUCUCUUUCUCUGGCUCUGUCUGUCUCUCUCUGUCUCUGUCUCUGUCUCUGUCUCUGUCUCUGGCUCUGUCUUCUUUCUCUUUUUCUGCCUCUUUUUUGUCUCUCUGUCUCUGUCUCUCCACCUCUAUCACUGUAUCUGUCUUUCUCUUUUUUCUGCUUCCACCUGUCUCCUUUCUCUCUCUUUCUCUCUGUCUCUCUCUCUCUGUCUCUCUCUCACUGUCUCUCUCUGUCUCUCUCUCUCUCUCUGGCUCUGUCUUCUUUCUCUUUUUCUCCCCCCCUCUCUGUGUGUCCCUCUCUUUCUCUGGCUCUGUCUGUCUCUCUCUUUCUCUCUCUGGCUCUGUCUUCUUUCUCUUUUUCUGCCUCUUUUUGUCUCUCUGUCUCUGUCUCUCCAUCUCUAUCACUGUAUCUGUCUUUCUCUUUUUUCUGCUUCCACCUGUCUCCUUUCUGUCUCUUUUCUCUCUGUCUCUUUCUGUCUGUCUGUCUGUCUGUCUGUCUUUCUCUGUCUGUCUGUCUUUCUCUGUCUGUCUGUCUCUCUCUGUCUCUGUCUCUCUAUCUCUUUCUUUGAUCCUUUCCUGAUGGCAUCUGGUGAGAGACAACUCUGUAAGGGGGAGAGGACUUGGGCUCUCCCCACUGAGCCCAACAUGUAG
ensembl:lncRNA